rnacentral:rRNA from 1 species
AGAACGAACGCUGGCGGCAUGCCUAAUACAUGCAAGUCGAACGAACACUUCGGUGUUAGUGGCGCACGGGUGCGUAACGCGUGGGGAUCUGCCCUUGGGUUCGGAAUAACAGUUGGAAACGACUGCUAAUACCGGAUGAUGACGAAAGUCCAAAGAUUUAUCGCCCAGGGAUGAGCCCGCGUAGGAUUAGCUAGUUGGUGAGGUAAAGGCUCACCAAGGCGACGAUCCUUAGCUGGUCUGAGAGGAUGAUCAGCCACACUGGGACUGAGACACGGCCCAGACUCCUACGGGAGGCAGCAGUAGGGAAUAUUGGACAAGUGGGCGCAAGCCUGAUCCAGCAAUACCGCGUGAGUGAUGAAGGCCUUAGGGUUGUAAAGCGUCUUUUACCGAGUAUGAAUAAUGAACAGUAGUCGGAGAAAUAACGGCCCCGGACUAAACCGUCCGUCGACCAAGCCAACGCCGGUC